UACGUAGGGAGCAAGCGUUGUCCGGAAUCAUUGGGCGUAAAGCGCGCGUAGGCGGCCCUGUAAGUCCGUUGUGAAAGUCAAAGGCUCAACCUUUGAAAGCCGAUGGAUACUGCAGGGCUAGAGUCCGGAAGAGGCGAGUGGAAUUCCUGGUGUAGCGGUGGAAUGCGCAGGAUAUCAGGAGGAACACCAAUAGCGAAAGGCAGCUCGCUGGGACGGUACUGACGCUAAGGCGCGAAAGCGUGGGGAGCGAACAGG
rnacentral:rRNA from 1 species